ensembl:lncRNA
CUCUCUUGUUGGAGAUUCCUGCCUAUCUGAAGUCUUUUGAAGUUUUAUAAAUUUGGCAACAACAACAACAAAACAACAACAACAAAAAAACGAAGCAAAACUAGAAUCUAGUUAGAAAGGAAGACACAUCAUAGUUCACACAGAAAUCACGUCACAGCUACCAUGGAGGUGAAUUUAUUGAAGCUGUGAAGUAAUGCACGUUCCUUGGUCUGCAGUGGGAAUAGAAUUCCAGCAACAAUAAUACAUCCAGCACUGGAAGGCUAAGGAAGACAAGGGCUACUAACAGGACAAGCACAAUAAACCAGUGAAGUUUCCAGAGCCAUAAACUAACCACGAACUUCUCUGAUUAUUUAGUGGAUACUAGAGCUCCUUAAUUAUUCCUUCCUCAUUUAGCAGUGAUGGAGUAGAGCUACCAUUAAAGAAAGGAAGGAUAAGUGAUUUGCAUUUUGGUCUCUGUUGUCUCUUUAUUCACAUGAGAUUGCAGGCUGCCAUAUGCUUUAUCUUGGAGAGAACAUAUAUAAAAGAACACAUAGCUGUCUUUGGUGGAAUAGUCUCUAUUUCAUAAAAUGAAGUUUUAGAUUAUUUUUAGCGUUGAAUAGGUAGGGUUGGUUGUGACAGAUUUCUGCAGUUUGCAAGGAUGGAAAUUUCCAGGUCUGACUGUUGUGAUCAUACUUAGAAAUAUGCAAAAUUUGAAGUACAUGUACGUGAACAUUCUGCAAAAUUGCAGAACAUAUAAAAUGUGUUAGCAUUUAAAUCAGUUAGUACAGUAGCUUUAAAGAAAGGUGAGGAAAAGAAUGGGUAGUUGAGUUAAAACUACUUUUAAUUAGAUGUUAUCUACAUCUAUUUUCUGCAUUAGUAGUGAAAAUGUUUUAAUAAUGAGACCCAUAUUUCAUUUAAAAGCUUUCUUCUUUUCUGUUUCAUAUCACUUCCUAAUAUGCAUCACGUUCCCAAUUCAAAGCUCCAUGGGAGGAAGGAAAAGCUCUUCACCAUUUUUCCAUUGACGGCAGUAUUCAGGAGAAACUCUUUGAGUCACGUUUAAGUAUUACUCAUUUCAUUAUUUAAUUAAACUUCAUUUUUUUUCUAUUGCUUUAUUGAAAUAACUCUAUGUCAGGCAGUAUGACAGAGUUGUUGCCAUUCAUUAAAAACAAACAAACAAAAAAACACCUCCUUAAUUAAGUUUCCUAAGACACAGUUAUGGGUUAUAGCUAAUUAGACCUAAAUAUAUAGGAAGUUACAUUAAAUAAGUAUACAAACUCAAGUCUGAGACUCAAAUUUGUACGUAUGUAUGUAUAAAUACAAUAAAGAAGGCUUAUUUGGUUAAAAUAACAUCUUUAAAGCAGAGCACCUUUAAUUUAGUAUUGGCACGAAAGAAGACUGAAACAACUGUGCUUUUCCUAUUUCUGUAUAAUCUUUGCUUCAAAUUUGUCUGCUCAUUUCAUCAUGAGUUAUGUCUGGCUUAGAAUAUAUUGCAGAUGGAAGUAGUUCUUGUUAGGACAUAAUAAAGUAAAUCAUUAU